rnacentral:rRNA from 1 species
UACGUAGGGACCGAGCGUUGUCCGGAUUCAUUGGGCGUAAAGAGCUCGUAGGCGGCCACUCAAGUCGAAUGUGAAACCUCGAGGCUUAACCUCGAGCCUGCAUUCGAUACUGGGCGGCUAGAGUCUGGUAGGGGGGAUCUGGAAUUCCUGGUGUAGCGGUAGAAUGCGCAGAUAUCAGGAGGAACACCGGUGGCGAAGGCGGGAUCCUGGGCCAGUACUGACGCUGAGGAGCGAAAGCGUGGGGAGCAAACAGG